CCAAUAGCGUAUAUUAAAGUUGUUGCAGUUAAAAAGCUCGUAGUUGAAUUUCGGGAUUGACGUGACGGUCAUGCCUUAAGGGGUAUGAACUGUUACUGUUGAUUUCUCACCUUCUGGAGAAACUUGAUGUCCUUUAUUGGGUGUCUUGCGGAUCCAGGACCUUUACCUUGAAAAAAUUAGAGUGUUUAAAGCAGGCAUUUUUGCUCGAAUACAUUAGCAUGGAAUAAUAGAAUAGGACGGCAUGGUUCUAUUUUGUUGGUUUUUAGGAUCACCGUAAUGAUUAAUAGGGAUAGUUGGGGGCAUUAGUAUUCAAUUGUCAGAGGUGAAAUUCUUGGAUUUAUUGAAGACUAACUACUGCGAAAGCAUUUGCCAAGGAUGUUUUCAUUAAUCAAGAACGAAAGUUAGGGGAUCGAAGACGAUCAGAUACCGUCGUAGUCUUAACCAUAAACUAUGCCGACUAGGAAUCAGACGAUGUUAAUUUUUUAAUGACUCGUUUGGCACCUUACG
rnacentral:misc_RNA from 1 species